rnacentral:miRNA from 1 species
CCGUUUUUCAUUGGUCUCCUUAUUGUAGUAUAUAUGGGGAUCAAUGACUAAGCGG